rnacentral:rRNA from 1 species
UACGAAGGGGGCUAGCGUUGCUCGGAAUCACUGGGCGUAAAGCGCACGUAGGCGGCUUCUUAAGUCAGGGGUGAAAUCCUGGAGCUCAACUCCAGAACUGCCUUUGAUACUGAGUAGCUUGAGUCCGGGAGAGGUGAGUGGAACUGCGAGUGUAGAGGUGAAAUUCGUAGAUAUUCGCAAGAACACCAGUGGCGAAGGCGGCUCACUGGCCCGGUACUGACGCUGAGGAGCGAAAGUGUGGGGAGCGAACAGG